rnacentral:lncRNA from 1 species
CAAGGACAUGGAUUGGGAUUCAACAAUGUGGCCAGAUGCACAAGUUAGUAAAAUUGAUGAUACCAGUACAAUUAUGAAACCUAGAGGAAGAGUUUGAUGACAUCUAAUCACAUGGCAUGGGGUAAUAACUAAUGAGAAGGAUUUUGAAUCUUCGUGUUAUAGCUUUUGAGAUGUCCCUUGUUACUUGUUGUGGCUGAGAAGAAAAAGAGGAACCAUGUACUUGGCUUGAGAUAAGAAUGGGAUAUGGUUUCGUUGAGUUGUGUACCCCAUAAACCAGGUAUGAUGCUGGUAUCUUGCUCGAUCUUCAGAACCUAUUGGCUGCAGUUGUUUGCAGAUACCUGUUUGUGGAUAUCAGUUAUGGGUAUAACUAGCAGUGUGUCAGAAUGCAAAUGCACUGGAAAGGGAUUUAAGAUCAGGGGUAACAGAAAUGUACUCAAAGUUUCAGCGUUCUUUUAAUUAUUAUAGAAAGCCUUCCAUUAUAUAUCCAAUGCAUGUCUUCAUUUACCAUAGUAGCUAAUAAGUAUCAAGAAGAAACCUUCCUCCUGAAAUCUGCCAGAAAAGAGCAUUUUUCGGAGUUCCUCUAGCUUUUUUAACCUUCGUGCCACUACCUAGCAGAAAACUUCAUUGUUUUUAUGAGUUAGGGUGAAGGAGUCAGCACUCUUCUUCACAUACUUUGCAGACAUAAUAAGCUAAUUUUAGUAAUUUCAAGAAAUAAUUCAAGGGCAUAAUGACCAAAAUUUGUGAGAGUACCAUCCUUAGACAUCUUAUUGAAGUGCUGAAUUACUAUGUUGGGAUUUAAAGAAUUUUACAUGCAGAGUUCAAGAAAUGUAUCAUCUAUAGUUUAGCUACUUAAUUGAAAUGGUUUCCUAUCAGACAACAUGAAACCUGAGUUCUCUUAAUUCUAUAAUACAAUUAUUUGACAAUUUUGAUCACUGUAAAAAAUCUUUAAUAUCUUAUCUGUCUUGCAUACAAAUUCAAAGUUCUUCCUUUAUGAUGGACCAGGCCACCACUUACUCUCAGCUUCAAAAGUCCCUCUCCCUUUUGGUCCAGUAACCUACCAAAUUCGCUUAGUUACAAUGUUUGGCUGCAUAAAUUUAAAAAAAAAAAAAAAAAAAAAAAAUUUCCCUCAAAACCACUGUAGAUGGUAUGUUUUAUUAAUAUAAAAAUUUAGACACAGAACAAAAAAAAUAAACCAAAAACAAAAACUUACCGCAUCUGGAGAUGGAGGGUGUACAAUGAAAAUUAAAAAUUACAAUUCAUGCACCAUAGCAUUAUUCCUAGUCACCAUAUGUUUUGUGAAGUUUCUCUCCAUCUUCUAGCCCCUUCAGACUCACUACUUAAAUUGGACCUUCUUUGGACUAAUGAGUUUCAUCUUCAGAUGUAUUGGAUAAUAUAGGCGGGGCUAUGUAUUUGCAUAUAUUUUCUGUGGACUGGAUCAAAGACUGACAAGGAAUCUUUUAUGUAUUUGUAGUUUCUGUUAAUAUCUUUUAUCUUUCAGAAAAACAAAGGGUUGCAAUUGAUUGAGUGUUGAAUGACAAUAAAGCCCAAGAUUUGCAGUGAGACCCACCUUUCACAUGUUGACAUGCAAUUCAUUCUCGACUCGUUGCAGGUUUUAGUUCUUGGUCAGCCUGGAAAGGAGCUGAGUUUGCACUUUGCAGUUGAUGCUAAGAUUUGUUGCCAAUGUUCAUCUCAAAGUAAGUAUUGCUUGUAUUAAAUUAUUAAAUAUAACUUUGUAUGCCUUCAUAUCAGCAAUGCUAGAAAUGAAACAUUUGCAUUCUUUCCAUUUCAGUAAGGUAAAUUGUCAGCUGGAAGUGUCUUGGUUUAUACUUUAUACAUGCAUAGUGACAUCGAGCACACUAUUCUUGUACAUAUGAAUUUAUAUUCUAUAUUUAAGUUGUUUGCCAAGGCUUGGGUUGACCUUUAGCUCAACAGAGCGGGUCUAGAUCCCUACCAAGCACUACAGCAAAGUUGUUUCUUCUAUCCUUAUUGUGCUUUAUGUAGGCUUAGCCUGGUGAAGCAGAGAAUGGGCAAUGUGCAGUGGUAUAAUUUAACACGUUUAGUUAAAAAAUCGCUAAUUCAAAAGGCUUGACCUGUGUUUAAAUAGAUUGGGUCGAGCGAACCUGCAGUGUGAAUCCCUUUGUUUCUUAUAUCUCACCUUAAACUGUGUAUAUCUCCAACAGGUCCUAACAAUUGUCCCUUUAAUGCGCCGUAUAAAAAAUUGAUUCUGUCUGAUUGAGAGCUUAUUACCUGUUUGACAACCAUUAUUUGAGGAAAUAAAGUUUUGAAUAGUGAUUUUUAGGAGAAUGUGUAGUUAAAUGGUAGAAAAAAGUUUUGGAUUUAAGUACAAAAUAUUUUAUUGUGUGAAUGUGUAGUUGAAAAUGAAUGUGUAAAAAGGAGUUUGAAAAUAAAGGCUGUAAAACAGUGGCUAAAGUUCAUUGGCCUAAACAAAUGGCAUGCAUUAAAAAACUGUGAUAUGCUUGGGGGACGAACUCUUGAGAAUUAGAUAGUAUUCUCAUUUCUCAGUUUACAUAGAAAUCUAGUAGCACCGUCUCAAUUUUGUCUAAGCAGUUAUACUCUCAUGAAGCUGACAAUCUUCUAGAUAACAUGAUGCUCUGUAUUUAUUCCACUGUCAUCUUUAUUCGUGUAUGAUUAAAAGAAAGGAUUGCUUUCACUUGUGGUGUCUAUAGGUGCACUUUACAAAUUUAUUCGAAUAUUUUUUCUUGUGCUUUGAGUGUGACAAUUAUUUAUUUGUUGAACUUUUUAUCGUUUUGUAUAUGUUUCCUCAAUGUGACACCGAGGAAAGUCCUAUAUCCCGAUGCAUUGGCUUGCAGGAAGGGUACAAGGAUUGAUGAAAUGUUCGAGGAUAUAAGGGAAGUCUUGUCCAUUUGCCAAGAUACUUGGGGUAAUCGAAAUAUCUUUGAGGCCAUCAAUUGCAAAUAAUUUUACGAGGCAGCCAUAGUCAAUUUUAUCAUAUGGUUGCUCAUAUUCAAUUUGAUGCGGCAGGAUUUUGGAUGCCAUUUUGCAGUAACCUUGCCAGGCUACUCAUAACUCGAACUGGGCGGGACUUUGUUUUUGCUCCUUGGUCAACUUUUUUAAGUAUAUUUUUUCAAUCCCCAAAAUGGUUUGUUGUACCAACAAAAAAUAUUACGGAAUAAAUUACUCUUGUGGGCUUGACUCAAGAUCUUAUUAUAUCAUCAUUUUUUCAGUCUGAAGCAUUAAUCUAGGUUCUUGUCAUACAGAAUGGCAUUUUCGCAGUAUUUAUCUAGUGAGCAGUAGAGCAUUUUUUUACUGUGUGGUAUAAUAAGUUACCCGACAGUAGAUAUUUUCCUCGGACUCACAAAAAUCACGAGGCUCUUUCAUAAAAGAAGCUGGAAAGGUUGUAGAUACUGUUGGCAGCAGUAGGUGGUUUCGACUGUAUUCGUGUUCAUUAAUGUGGGUUAUUGCGUUCCCA